CCUACGGUCUCUGCAGUGGGGAAUAUUGGACAAUGGGCGAAAGCCUGAUCCAGCCAUGCCGCGUGUGUGAAGAAGGCCUUCGGGUUGUAAAGCACUUUCAGUGGGGAAGAAAGCCUUGGGGCUAAUACCCUCGAGGAAGGACAUCACCCACAGAAGAAGCACCGGCUAACUCCGUGCCAGCAGCCGCGGUAAUACGGAGGGUGCGAGCGUUAAUCGGAAUUACUGGGCGUAAAGCGCGCGUAGGCGGUCUGAUAAGCCGGUUGUGAAAGCCCCGGGCUCAACCUGGGAACGGCAUCCGGAACUGUCAGGCUAGAGUGCAGGAGAGGAAGGUAGAAUUCCCGGUGUAGCGGUGAAAUGCGUAGAGAUCGGGAGGAAUACCAGUGGCGAAGGCGGCCUUCUGGACUGACACUGACGCUGAGGUGCGAAAGCGUGGGUAGCAAACAGGAUUAGAUACCCUAGUAGUC
rnacentral:rRNA from 1 species